CACGACACUUUUGGACAGUGAAGGCUUUCUCUAUCUCCAUUAUCCAAUUGUCAGCCUCCAAAGGUUCAGUAAUCCCCUUGAAGGCUAGAGGAGCUAGCUUUUUAAAUUUUAAAAUGUUGUUGUGUUGCACUGGCUACUCUCCAUGUUGUUAUGGUAGAUGUUGCUAUUGUUGUGCAUCUCCUUGUAUCUGUUGUUGUUCAAGCAUUUGCUGCUGUAUUUGUUGUUGCGUCUGCACCAUCCCAAUUAGGAUUUGCAUUAACUGAGCCAUGUCUGAUUUUUGAUGUACUCUCAAAGUAGUCCCAAUAGGAUCUAUGACUCCCUCCUCUUAAGGGGUGCCACUAAUCAGAUGGGGAGUGCUACCACCCCAUGGUUGUGAUGUCUCUCUUGCAGUCCCUUGAGUAGUUCUUGUCAUUUGACGGAGAGAC
rnacentral:lncRNA from 1 species